CUUUUGCUACGGUCAAACAAGCGGUCACAAAAAAAGAAAAAAAAGAAAAAGAAAAUAUCAGCAACAGCCAUAACUUAUAAGGGAUGCAAAUAACACGGCUUUCUUUAAUUAAUUUUCCCCAAUUUCAAUUUCAUAACUUUCUCUCUCUCUAUGAUGGAAGCUCUCAAUGUGCCUUAGCUCUCUCUCGCACUCACCCAUGGUCGUCACAGGUGAUUUCAUUGCAAAUUAGGUGAUUUCAUCGGUGUCUUGUGAGAAUACAAGCGUAUCAAUGGCAUCACUGACGGAACUUUCUUUCCACUGGACUGGUUUCAUUAGUGCGAUGAUUUCAAAUAUUGCAUUCACUUACAGGAGUAUCUAUUCAAAGAAGCAAUGUGAUCUUGGAAACGCA